UAGGUGUAAAGACAGCGAUGUCAAAGCCGAGCAUUACUAAUUGCCCGAACACUUUCUUUA
rnacentral:rRNA from 1 species